UUCUACGGCCAUGCCACCCUGAACGGGCCCGAUCUUGUCUGAUCACAGAAGCUAAGCAAGGUCGGGCCUGGUUACUACAAGGAUGGGAGACCACCUACGAAGAAGACCAGGUGCUGUAGGCA
rfam:Pteropus alecto contig54779, whole genome shotgun sequence.